rnacentral:rRNA from 1 species
UACGAAGGGGGCGAGCGUCGUUCGGAUUUACUGGGCGUAAAGGGCGCGCAGGCGGCUUUGUUUGUCAGGCGUGAAAGCCCCGGGCUUAACCUGGGAACUGCGUUUGAUACGGCAGGGCUAGAGUUCGGGAGAGGAGAGUGGAAUUCCCAGUGUAGAGGUGAAAUUCGUAGAUAUUGGGAAGAACACCGGUGGCGAAGGCGGCUCUCUGGACCGAUACCGACGCUGAGGCGCGAAAGCGUGGGGAGCAAACAGG